rnacentral:rRNA from 1 species
CACCAACUGGAGGACCGAACCCGUGAAUGUUGAAAAAUUCUGGGAUGACCUGUGGAUAGGGGUGAAAGGCUAAACAAACUCCGGAGAUAUCUGGUUCUCUCGAAAGCUAUUUAGGAGCGCCUCGUGUAUCACUGUUGGGGGUAGAGCACUGUUUCGGCUAGGGGGUCAUCCCGACUUACCAACCCCAUGCAAAAACUCCGAAUACCAAUGAGUACAGCUUUGGCAGACAGACGGCGGUGCUAGUCCGUAUCGUCAAAAGGGAAACAGCCUAACCAUCAUCUAAGGCCCCCAAGUCACGGAUUAAGUGGUAAACGAAGUGGGAUUGAUUGACAGCAGGAUUGUUAGCUUAGAAGGCAGCCAUCCUUUAAAGAAAGCGUAAUAGCUCACUGGUCGAGUCGUCUUGCGCGGAAGAUGUAACGGGGCUAAAACUAUAUGCCGAAGCUGCGGAUGCAUAAUUUAUUAUGCGUGGUAGGGGAGCGUUCUGUAAGCCGAUGAAGGUGGAUUGAGAAGUUGCUGGAGGUAUCAGAAGUGCCGAAUGCUGACAUGAGUAGCGAUUAUGCGGGUGAAAAGCCCGUCGCCGAAAGUCCAAGGGUUCCAGUCCAACGUUAAUCGACACUGGGUUGAGUCGAUCCUAAGGCGAGGCCGAAAGGCGUAGUCGAUGGGAAAUUGGUUAAUAUUCCAAUACUUCUGUGUAAUGCGAUGAGAGGACGGAGAAGGUUAAGUCAGCCUGGCGUUGGUUGUCCAGGUGGAAGGUUGUAGGCAUGUAUCUUAGGCAAAUCCGGGGUACUCUAUGCUGAGAACUGAUAGCAAGCUGUACUUGUACAGUGAAGUGGCUGAUACCAUGCUUCCAGGAAAAGUCUCUAAGCUUCAGUUACACAGGAAUCGUACCCGAAACCGACACAGGUGGUCAGGUCGAGUAUACCAAGGCGCUUGAGAGAACUCUGGUAAGGAACUAGGCAAAAUGGCACCGUAACUUCGGGAGAAGGUACGCUGUUGUCUGUGAUAGGACUUGCUCCUUGAGCGGCCGACAGCCUCAGAAACCAGGCCGCUGCGACUGUUUAUUAAAAACACAGCACUCUGCUAACACGAAAGUGGACGUAUAGGGUGUGACUCCUGCCCGGUGCCGGAAGGUUAAAAGGAGGUGUGCAAGCACUGAACUUAAGCCCCAGUAAACGGCGGUGGUAACUAUAACCAGUCCUAAGGUAGCGAAAUUCCUUGUCGCAUAAGUUCGCGACCUGCACGAAUGGCGUAACGAUGGCCACACUGUCUCCCGACAUGGACCCGGCGAAAUUGUCGCUGUGAAGAUGCAGUGUAUCCGCGGCUAGACGGAAAGCCCCAUGAACCUUUACUGUAGCUUUGCAUUGGACUUUGAGCUACUGUGUAGGAUAGGUGGGAGGCUUUGAAGCAGGGACGCCAGUUUCUGUGAGCCGUCCUUGAAAUACCACCCUUGCAAUUCUGAUGUUCUAACUUGGCCCCAUUAUCUGGGGUAAGGACAGUGCCUGGUAGGUAGUUUGACUGGGGCGGUCUCCUCCUAAAGAGUAACGGAGGAGUUCGAAGGUACGCUAGGUACGGUCGGACAUCGUGCCGAUAGUGCAAUGGCAUAAGCGUGCUUAACUGCGAGAGCUACAACUCGAGCAGAGACGAAAGUCGGCUUAGUGAUCCGGUGGUUCCGAGUGGAAGGGCCAUCGCUCAACGGAUAAAAGCUACCCUGGGGAUAACAGGCUUA